CCUACGGGGGGCUGCAGUGGGGAAUAUUGCACAAUGGGCGCAAGCCUGAUGCAGCCAUGCCGCGUGUAUGAAGAAGGCCUUCGGGUUGUAAAGUACUUUCAGCGAGGAGGAAGGCAUUGUGGUUAAUAACCACAGUGAUUGACGUUACUCGCAGAAGAAGCACCGGCUAACUCCGUGCCAGCAGCCGCGGUAAUACGGAGGGUGCAAGCGUUAAUCGGAAUUACUGGGCGUAAAGCGCACGCAGGCGGUCUGUCAAGUCGGAUGUGAAAUCCCCGGGCUCAACCUGGGAACUGCAUUCGAAACUGGCAGGCUAGAGUCUUGUAGAGGGGGGUAGAAUUCCAGGUGUAGCGGUGAAAUGCGUAGAGAUCUGGAGGAAUACCGGUGGCGAAGGCGGCCCCCUGGACAAAGACUGACGCUCAGGUGCGAAAGCGUGGGGAGCAAACAGGAUUAGAUACCCCAGUAGUC
rnacentral:rRNA from 1 species